rnacentral:misc_RNA from 1 species
AAGACUAUAGACCUGCGGAGUACCUGCGGAAGGAUCAUUAACGUAUCUAUGAUGGGGUGCGGAGCGCCCUGCUCCCGUCGAACGGCCGUGCAGCGGGUGCGCCGCCCCCGUCCCACCUCACAAACCCACUGUGAACAUUCACCGGUGGAGGGGGCUCGGUCUGCGCCGUGUCCCCGAUGCCGAAUACCCAAACUCCAGUUGCAAAGAACGUCGUGCGGACUCGGUGCCGCCUAAAACAUG